rnacentral:rRNA from 1 species
UACGUAGGUGUCAAGCGUUGUCCGGAUUUAUUGGGCGUAAAGCGCCCGCAGGCGGCUUGCCAAGUUCGAUGUGAAAUCUCCCGGCUCAACUGGGAGGGUGCAUCGAAAACUGGCAGGCUUGAGGCAGGGAGAGGGAUGUGGAAUUCCAGGUGUAGUGGUGUAAUGCGUAGAUAUCUGGAGGAACACCAGUGGCGAAGGCGGCAUCCUGGCCCUGUCCUGACGCUCAGGGGCGAAAGCGUGGGGAGCAAACCGG